GACAGAGGGUGCAAACGUUGUUCGGAAUUACUGGGCGUAAAGCGAGUGUAGGCGGUCUCGUAAGUCGGGUGUGAAAGCCCUGGGCUCAACCCAGGAAGUGCACUCGAAACUGCGAGGCUAGAGUACUGGAGAGGUUGGUGGAAUUCUCGGGUGUAGAGGUGAAAUUCGUAGAUAUCGAGAGGAACACCGGUGGCGAAGGCGGCCAACUGGACAGACACUGACGCUGAGGUGCGAAAGCGUGGGGAGCAAACAAGG
rnacentral:rRNA from 1 species